UAAUACGUAGGGGGCAAGCGUUGUCCGGAAUCAUUGGGCGUAAAGCGCGUGUAGGCGGCCAGAUAAGUCCGCUGUGAAAUCUCGAGGCUCAACUUCGAGCUGUCGGUGGAAACUGUCUGGCUAGAGUCCGGAAGAGGAGAGUGGAAUUCCUGGUGUAGCGGUGAAAUGCGCAGAUAUCAGGAAGAACACCCGUGGCGAAGGCGGCUCUCUGGGACGGUACUGACGCUGAGACGCGAAAGCGUGGGGAGCGAACAGGAUUAGAUACCCUGGUAGUCCACGCCGUAAACGAUGGGAACUAGGUGUGGGGGGUGUCGACUCCCUCCGUGCCGAAGCUAACGCAUUAAGUUCCCCGCCUGGGGAGUACGGCCGCAAGGCUA
rnacentral:rRNA from 1 species